rnacentral:misc_RNA from 1 species
UGUGGGAGCGAGCUUGCUCGCGAUGGCGGCGUGUCAAUCGGCUUCAAUGUUUGCUGUACAGUCGCUAUCGCGAGCAAGCUCGCUCCCACA